CACUGUAAAUGAUGAUUGUUUAUAUACAAUGGGAAUCUCUCUGAAAAAGGAUGAAGAGUAUGUUUUCCUGAUUCAGUG